GGUUAAGCGACUAAGCGUACACGGUGGAUGCCCUGGCAGUCAGAGGCGAUGAAGGACGUGCUAAUCUGCGAUAAGCGUCGGUAAGGUGAUAUGAACCGUUAUAACCGGCGAUUUCCGAAUGGGGAAACCCAGUGUGUUUCGACACACUAUCAUUAACUGAAUCCAUAGGUUAAUGAGGCGAACCGGGGAACUGAAACAUCUAAGUACCCCGAGGAAAAGAAAUCAACCGAGAUUCCCCCAGUAGCGGCGAGCGAACGGGGAGCAGCCCAGAGCCUGAAUCAGUGUGUGUGUUAGUGGAAGCGUCUGGAAAGGCGCGCGAUACAGGGUGACAGUCCCGUACACAAAAAUGCACAUGCUGUGAGCUCGAUGAGUAGGGCGGGACACGUGGUAUCCUGUCUGAAUAUGGGGGACCAUCCUCCAAGGCUAAAUACUCCUGACUGACCGAUAGUGAACCAGUACCGUGAGGGAAAGGCGAAAAGAACCCCGGCGAGGGGAGUGAAAAAGAACCUGAAACCGUGUACGUACAAGCAGUGGGAGCACGCUUAGGCGUGUGACUGCGUACCUUUUGUAUAAUGGGUCAGCGACUUAUAUUCUGUAGCAAGGUUAACCGAAUAGGGGAGCCGAAGGGAAACCGAGUCUUAACUGGGCGUUAAGUUGCAGGGUAUAGACCCGAAACCCGGUGAUCUAGCCAUGGGCAGGUUGAAGGUUGGGUAACACUAACUGGAGGACCGAACCGACUAAUGUUGAAAAAUUAGCGGAUGACUUGUGGCUGGGGGUGAAAGGCCAAUCAAACCGGGAGAUAGCUGGUUCUCCCCGAAAGCUAUUUAGGUAGCGCCUCGUGAAUUCAUCUCCGGGGUAGAGCACUGUUUCGGCAAGGGGGUCAUCCCGACUUACCAACCCGAUGCAAACUGCGAAUACCGGAGAAUGUUAUCACGGGAGACACACGGCGGGUGCUAACGUCCGUCGUGAAGAGGGAAACAACCCAGACCGCCAGCUAAGGUCCCAAAGUCAUGGUUAAGUGGGAAACGAUGUGGGAAGGCCCAGACAGCCAGGAUGUUGGCUUAGAAGCAGCCAUCAUUUAAAGAAAGCGUAAUAGCUCACUGGUCGAGUCGGCCUGCGCGGAAGAUGUAACGGGGCUAAACCAUGCACCGAAGCUGCGGCAGCGACGCUUAUGCGUUGUUGGGUAGGGGAGCGUUCUGUAAGCCUGCGAAGGUGUGCUGUGAGGCAUGCUGGAGGUAUCAGAAGUGCGAAUGCUGACAUAAGUAACGAUAAAGCGGGUGAAAAGCCCGCUCGCCGGAAGACCAAGGGUUCCUGUCCAACGUUAAUCGGGGCAGGGUGAGUCGACCCCUAAGGCGAGGCCGAAAGGCGUAGUCGAUGGGAAACAGGUUAAUAUUCCUGUACUUGGUGUUACUGCGAAGGGGGACGGAGAAGGCUAUGUUGGUCGGGCGACGGUUGUCCCGGUUUAAGCGUGUAGGCUGGUUUUCCAGGCAAAUCCGGAAAAUCAAGGCUGAGGCGUGAUGACGAGGCACUACGGUGCUGAAGCAACAAAUGCCCUGCUUCCGGAAAAGCCUCUAAGCAUCAGGUAACAUCAAAUCGUACCCCAAACCGACACAGGUGGUCAGGUAGAGAAUACCAAGGCGCUUGAGAGAACUCGGGUGAAGGAACUAGGCAAAAUGGUGCCGUAACUUCGGGAGAAGGCACGCUGAUAUGUAGGUGAGGUCCCUCGCGGAUGGAGCUGAAAUCAGUCGAAGAUACCAGCUGGCUGCAACUGUUUAUUAAAAACACAGCACUGUGCAAACACGAAAGUGGACGUAUACGGUGUGACGCCUGCCCGGUGCCGGAAGGUUAAUUGAUGGGGUUAGCGCAAGCGAAGCUCUUGAUCGAAGCCCCGGUAAACGGCGUACCGUAACUAUAACGGUCCUAAGGUAGCGAAAUUCCUUGUCGGGUAAGUUCCGACCUGCACGAAUGGCGUAAUGAUGGCCAGGCUGUCUCCACCCGAGACUCAGUGAAAUUGAACUCGCUGUGAAGAUGCAGUGUACCCGCGGCAAGACGGAAAGACCCCGUGAACCUUUACUAUAGCUUGACACUGAACAUUGAGCCUUGAUGUGUAGGAUAGGUGGGAGGCUUAGAAGUGUGGACGCCAGUCUGCAUGGAGCCGACCUUGAAAUACCACCCUUUAAUGUUUGAUGUUCUAACGUUGACCCGUAAUCCGGGUUGCGGACAGUGUCUGGUGGGUAGUUUGACUGGGGCGGUCUCCUCCUAAAGAGUAACGGAGGAGCACGAAGGUUGGCUAAUCCUGGUCGGACAUCAGGAGGUUAGUGCAAUGGCAUAAGCCAGCUUGACUGCGAGCGUGACGGCGCGAGCAGGUGCGAAAGCAGGUCAUAGUGAUCCGGUGGUUCUGAAUGGAAGGGCCAUCGCUCAACGGAUAAAAGGUACUCCGGGGAUAACAGGCUGAUACCGCCCAAGAGUUCAUAUCGACGGCGGUGUUUGGCACCUCGAUGUCGGCUCAUCACAUCCUGGGGCUGAAGUAGGUCCCAAGGGUAUGGCUGUUCGCCAUUUAAAGUGGUACGCGAGCUGGGUUUAGAACGUCGUGAGACAGUUCGGUCCCUAUCUGCCGUGGGCGCUGGAGAACUGAGGGGGCUGCUCCUAGUACGAGAGGACCGGAGUGGACGCAUCACUGGUGUUCGGGUUGUCAUGCCAAUGGCACUGCCCGGUAGCUAAAUGCGGAAGAGAUAAGUGCUGAAAGCAUCUAAGCACGAAACUUGCCCCGAGAUGAGUUCUCCCUGACCCUUUAAGGGUCCUGAAGGAACGUUGAAGACGACGACGUUGAUAGGCCGGGUGUGUAAGCGCAGCGAUGCGUUGAGCUAACCGGUACUAAUGAACCGUGAGGCUUAACCUU
rnacentral:rRNA from 1 species